ensembl:lncRNA
GUGGCUUCAUUUUUCACCAAUGGAAAAGAGCGAAAGGGCGUCGUCCAUUAUAUAUACAGUCUAUGUUUAGGACAGGCAAUAGCGACUUUCCUUAAUGAGGAGUUGGCAACACUUAUAGCUACGUUUAAAGAGAGUUAGCGACGCGACGAGGAAGGCUACUUGUUAGUUAGCGAGCUGUAGUUAGUUAAGGUUUUGAUAUAUAUGUGUGGCUUGAGCUGUGGUAAAGGAGACCAUUUCCACUGCUGCUACUGCCAUCAAACAUUGAUUCUAAGAAAGCAGUUAAUCAAACACUUGGCAAGAUGCAGUACCCCAACCACAACAACCAACACUACCCCAUCUGUUAUGCCUCACCUGACCCCAAACACAACAACCAAUACCACCCCAUCUGUGAUGCCUCUCCUGAACCCAACCACAACAAGCAACACCACUCCAUCUGUGAUCCCUUUCCUGAACCCAACCACAACAAGCAACACCACUCCAUCUGUGAUCCCUUUCCUGAACCCAACCACAACAACCAACACCACUCCAUCUGUGAUGCCUCUCCUGACCACAACAACUAACACCACCCCAUCUGUGAUGCCUUUAACCACUCCAAUAAACCACUCCAAUUUUCCUCUAGCAACAGAUCAAGCCCCCAGAGUUUGUAAAACCAAGGUUAGACAAGUGCAAUGCACUCUCUGCGGUCAGUUAGUAAACAAAAAUAAUUUGUGUUCAUUUAAAAAGAAGACAUUCAACUAAUGAACCAGCCCAACACCACCUUCCUUCCAUCUGCCUGGAGGCAGUGGGAUAUUUGCAGUUGGGAAAGCUUUCAAAGGAAGAACAAUCCCCCCCAAAAAAACAUGGGGCAACAGCCACUCAGUAGUUUGUGAACUGGACAGUUGCCAUAUCGAUUUAGAUUUUGCAAUGAGGAGUGGCAUGGUGGCUUUUGAUUGUAUCCAUGUGAAAUCGCUAAGCUACUGCCCUCCAGCAAUGAGUGAAGAUAUUACUCUGGACAAAAAGGUAAUUAACGACAUUGUCACUGCAAAGUGCUGUGCCUAAAACUCCAAGAAGAAGCUUUUUUUGCAAGGCCAGACCACCGAGAACUUGAAUGUAUCAGCAAUUGAAUCCCAGUUGGAGGUAAACCAAGAUGAUUGGGUGAAAAGUGAUGCCAGAACACAAGUGUUUUACCCACCAAAG